rnacentral:rRNA from 1 species
UACGUAGGGUGCAAGCGUUGUCCGGAAUUAUUGGGCGUAAAGAGCUCGUAGGCGGUUUGUCGCGUCGGCUGUGAAAUCCCGAGGCUCAACCUCGGGCCUGCAGUCGAUACGGGCAAACUAGAGUGUGGUAGGGGAGACUGGAAUUCCUGGUGUAGCGGUGAAAUGCGCAGAUAUCAGGAGGAACACCGAUGGCGAAGGCAGGUCUCUGGGCCACUACUGACGCUGAGAAGCGAAAGCAUGGGGAGCGAACAGG